CUCAGGUAUCAAACUCGUCCAUGUGCGGCUGGUUUUAUAGUCGCAGGUCUCCGUUUAUGUAGUGACCACUACGUAUGGGUCGGGUGUUAGUCCCUGAGGUAUGAAUGGGACUGUUCUCGUCGAGUCCCAGGAGUGCUGUGGUGAGUUGAUGCCUUGUUGGGCUACCUGGUUGAGGGAGUCCGGAGGUAGGCCCAAGGCCUGCAGUAACUGCGCUGCGUCGGCUGGGUCCUGUAGCUUGUGGGAUUCCGUUCCCUGCCGUACUGCGAGCGUGUGGAAAGGCCGCCAGCUGUAUUGAAGAUCCUGAAGAUGCGUUCAGG